UGGACCUAUGAUGAGAAAGUGUUUCUGAACAAAGGAUCAUGAUUAAUCCACUUCGGCACAAAAUGCCGAGAUCCAUU